rnacentral:rRNA from 1 species
CCUACGGGAGGCAGCAGUGAGGAAUAUUGGUCAAUGGUCGGGAGACUGAACCAGCCAAGCCGCGUGAGGGAGGAAGGUACAGAGUAUCGUAAACCUCUUUUGUCAGGGAACAAAGGCGGGGACGUGUCCCCGGAUGAGUGUACCUGAAGAAAAAGCAUCGUCUAACUCCGUGCCAGCAGCCGCGGUAAUACGGAGGAUGCGGGCGUUAUCCGGAUUUAUUGGGUUUAAAGGGUGCGCAGGCGGUCUGUUAAGUCAGCGGUCAAAGCCCGGGGCUCAACCCCGGCCCGCCGUUGAAACUGGCAGUCGCGAGUUGGAGUGAAGUAUGCGGAAUGCGCGGUGUAGCGGUGAAAUGCAUAGAUAUCGCGCAGAACUCCGAUUGCGAAGGCAGCAUGCCGGCUCCACACUGACGCUGAGGCACGAAAGCGUGGGUAUCGAACAGGAUUAGAUACCCUAGUAGUC